UACGUAGGGUGCAAGCGUUGUCCGGAAUUAUUGGGCGUAAAGAGCUCGUAGGCGGUUUGUUGCGUCGGCUGUGAAAUCCCGAGGCUCAACCUCGGGUCUGCAGUCGAUACGAGCAAACUAGAGUGUUGCAGGGGAGACUGGAAUUCCUGGUGUAGCGGUGAAAUGCGCAGAGUAUCAGGAGGAACACCGGUGGCGAAGGCGGGUCUCUGGGCAACAACGUGACGC
rnacentral:rRNA from 1 species